AUGCAGCACGCGUACGCCCUGUUUCCCCUGCGCCGGCCUCACUCGCACAAACGACUGUUCGUUACGCGCUGUUGGCC
rnacentral:sRNA from 1 species